GACGAACGCUGGCGGCGUGCUUAACACAUGCAAGUCGAACGGAAAGGCCCUGCUUUUGUGGGGUGCUCGAGUAGCGAACGGGUGAGUAACACGUGAGUAACCUGCCCUUGACUUUGGGAUAACUUCAGGAAACUGGGGCUAAUACCGGAUAGGAGCUCCUGCUGCAUGGUGGGGGUUGGAAAGUUUCGGCGGUUGGGGAUGGACUCGCGGCUUAUCAGCUUGUUGGUGGGGUAGUGGCUUACCAAGGCUUUGACGGGUAGCCGGCCUGAGAGGGUGACCGGCCACAUUGGGACUGAGAUACGGCCCAGACUCCUACGGGAGGCAGCAGUGGGGAAUAUUGCACAAUGGGCGGAAGCCUGAUGCAGCAACGCCGCGUGCAGGAUGACGGCCUUCGGGUUGUAAACCGCUUUCGCCUGUGACGAAGCGUGAGUGACGGUAAUGGGUAAAGAAGCACCGGCUAACUACGUG
rnacentral:rRNA from 1 species